AAUCAACGCUGGCGGCGUGCCUAACACAUGCAAGUCGAACGCGAAAGCCCCGCAAGGGGCAAGUAGAGUGGCAAACGGGUGAGUAACACGUGGGUGACCUGCCUUAGAGUGGGGGAUAACGUCCCGAAAGGGACGCUAAUACCGCAUAACAUCCUGCCUUUGAAGAGGUGGAGAUCAAAGCCGGGGACCGCAAGGCCUGGCGCUCAAAGAGGGGCCCGCGCCUGAUUAGCUAGUUGGUGAGGAAUGGCUCACCAAGGCAACGAUCAGUAUCCGGCCUGAGAGGGCGGACGGACACACUGGGACUGAGACACGGCCCAGACUCCCACGGGAGGCAGCAGUGGGGAAUUGUUCGCAAUGGGCGCAAGCCUGACGACGCAACGCCGCGUGGAGGAUGAAGACC
rnacentral:rRNA from 1 species